GGGGGGGGGGGGGGGGGGGGGGGGGGGGUGGGGGGCGGGCGGGGGGGCGGGGGGGGUGUGGGGUGGGCGAGGGGCGAGGGGGGGAGUAGCGGGGGAGGGGCCUGCCCUUGGCUUUGGGGUGACUGCAGGGGGCUGGGGCUCAUACCGGAUAGGAGCGCCUGCUGCAUGGUUGGGGUUGGGAAGUUUCGGCGGUUGGGGAUGGACUCGCGGCUUAUCAGCUUGUUGGUGGGGUAGUGGCUUACCAAGGCUUUGACGGGUAGCCGGCCUGGGAGGGUGACCGGCCACAUUGGGACUGAGAUACGGCCCAGACUCCUACGGGAGGCAGCAGUGGGGAAUAUUGCACAAUGGGCGGAAGCCUGAUGCAGCAACGCCGCGUGCGGGAUGACGGCCUUCGGGUUGUAAACCGCUUUCGCCUGUGACGAAGCGUGAGUGACGGUAAUGGGUAAAGAAGCACCGGCUAACUACGUG
rnacentral:rRNA from 1 species